ensembl:snRNA U2 U2 spliceosomal RNA
AUCGCUUCUUAGCCUUUUGGCUAAGAUCAAGUGUAGUAACAAUUAAUCUGUAUGCCUCCAAGAGAUGCAUAUGCAAUAUUUGUGACACAUUUAUUUUAAUUUUUUUUUUUGUGGUACUGGAAAUUGAACCCAGUGUUUUUAUACUAGUUAUAUCCCUAACCCCUU